CCCAGAACAGAUGCAUCAGUUAGCCUUCAAUCUUCUUGUUUUUGGGGAGAUCUAUGAUCUUAUUUGGAUGGCUAUGUAGGUGUUCGCAAAUGGAAAGUCGUUCCUGCUGCUACAGUUCAUUGGUUCAAGUCCGACACUGAGCUCACAAUGGACGUUGAGUUGGUGGACACAAUGGACAAUAAGCCCAUGAAGCUCCAGAAGUCCAGAUUUGGAUACGGUCUAAAAUGUAACUGAUGUAAAGAUUUGUCCAUCCCUUGGUUAGUCUUUUGAUCUACUGGUAUUUUAUGAGGCUUGGCUUUUUGAAAUAAAAAUUUUUGCUUAGAUUUUGACCUUUGUUGUAUGCGUGAUGGCAGACAGAAUCCGACUUUUUUUCCAGCUGGUGCACUGAGGGAGGCGUUUGAUGUAGCAACUGAAUGAAGAUCUCAAGGGAGCAAAAGGAACAAGGAGAAAGGAGCGCUCAAGAGAAGUGAACUCAAAGUCCAAGAUGCAAUCUUCACAUAGCUCACAAAUAUUAACCAGUAAACACUACUUGAUUCGUGAUGGCAUUGGACCAGACACACAACAUCCAGUUCUAUAAUAAGUAUAUUCGUGAUUGCAUUGGACCAGACACACGGAGAUGCUCGCUUGUCGUCGAGGAGUGUAGCUUGUAAUCGAAGUUGGCGCUACAAAGCUUGUUCUCAAAACCGACAACCAACUUAUGGCGCAGGUUAUUAACUCAGAUGUUAUCGACCGAUCCAGGUUUGGUCCUCUUGUCUAGGAGAUAAAGAAGAUGUUGUGAGGCAUCGACGAGUUCUGAGUGGCUUGGGCCAGGAGAAUAGCAAACAAAGCUGCUCAGAUCUUAGCUAGGGAGGGUUGCCUUUUAAAUUUAUGCAAAACUUGGUUUAGUGU